CUGGUUUCCAGACGAAAUUUGAGCGUCCUUGCUCAAACUGCCUGGCUUUGCAGGUAGCGCUUCGGCAUUCUUUAGCUUCUUCAAAUCUGCCGAUCCUGCUGGUGAGGACCGCCUCUUUUUCUUGCCGUGAGGCAUUUUUUGCACUUUUAAAGCACUUUUCAGGAGCUAAUAUCCAGGAGUACCUCACUGAUCGGUGGUCCACAAGAAAGAUCGUGACCGUUGUCAUCAAUGGUACCAACUACAUUAACGUGUACGGUCACUCGGGUUCUCAGCGCAAGAGAGAGAGAGGAGCUUUUUUCGGAAAAAAUCAUUCUUCAUCUGAACAAAAUCAGCGCCCCAAAUGUAGUGAUUGGGGGCGAUUUCAAUUGCUGGCUUGAUUCUUCAGACAGCAAGGGAAAGGCAAACACUUUUUCACCAGCAUUAAAUUCAUUAAUUACUAAUAUGCGUUUAAAAGAUCUUGAAUACUUUCUAAAGGGGAACGCAAAAAGUUACUCUUUUUUAAGAGGAAAUUCUGCAUCAAGAUUGGACAGAUUUUAUAUAAACUCUGAGUUAGUUGCCAAAAUUAAUUCUUUCCAAACCGUUGACUUAGCUUUGUCCGAUCACUGUGCUAAAAUGUACAAAAUUAACGUUGACCGAAACGAUCUGGGACAGACCAAUGGGAAAGGAAUGUGGAAAAUUAAUAGUAGCUUCCUCAAUAACGAUGAAAUUGAGAACGAAUACUGUUUCUUUUACGAAAAUCUCAAAAAAGUUAGGAGUUAUACUGAACAUUUUCCAUUUUGGUGGUGUUGCUACUUAAAAUCAAAAACAAAAAACUUCUACAAAUCCAAAAGUAUAAAUUUUAAUCAAGAAUUAACCUUCCCUUGGUAUUAAAAAAAAAUCACACAUAAGGUACUGGGGUCCUUUUCGACCCCAAACUUUAAAAAAUCGUCAAAAAUCCAGUUUUUGACCGAUUCCGGUUCUUUUGAUCAUAAAUGAAAGCUAAGAACGUCCCCUUUUCGAAACCGACCCGGAAUACCGGAUUUGGUCACUGUGGCCACCGGAAAUCGGCUACAACCGAAAAAAGGCCUUUUUGAGACCCCAACUUUGACGACCUGUAUCUCCGGCAAAUUCAAACCAAUCAGGAUGCUCCGGGUUGCAUUCGACAGGUAUAUACCUGUACUUUGACCACAAAUAUUAAUAUCAGGGCCAGGUGACCUACCGGUUCUGGAAAUCCGGAACAUCGGUAAAGUUCAUAUUUUACUGUUUUUCACGUAUAUGUGAUAACAAUACUCUCUUGAUAGUUGAAAUUGAUCCAUAAAACUUACUAAAAACACAAUACACGAUUGCCAGAACCACUCUGGAAUGUUAGUGGCCACUUCCGGGUAACCUGGAAUCGGUUCCCGGGUACCCGAUGAACGGCCAAUUUGAUUUUUCUGUUGAAAACCCAUCAUGUCGCAUAUCAAACUUCAUGAAAUUGAAAGAUAUGUCCAUCUUUGGUAAUGCCGUUAAUCGCUGAGCCAUCCUGGCCAAUCUGGAACCGGUUACCGGUGGGCCCUUGGGGACACUCCCGGAAUAUGAGAGAAACCCUAUCAUCCGACAUAUCAAACUUCAUGAAAUUGAAAGAUAACAAACGGACAACAGACGGAAAUCUUUCUUAUAUCAAGCCCUUGCUGAAUUAUCCCAAAGUCAAGAUAAUAGGGGAAAAAAUAAUGACGAACUACAAUUUGUAAAAUCUAAACUUCUUGAAAUAGAAACGGAAAAGCUGCAGCACUAUCCCGGUCACGGAAAUUUCUUGCAGAGCUCAUUUUGUUAGAAUCCUGCUAGAAUGAUUCUAGCAGGCCUGCCAGAAUUCUGUAAGAAUUUUCUUAGAGCAUUCUGACAGAGCAAAAAACUGUCGAAAUGACGUCAUUUUCGCCAAACCGCACUGUGACCGCCAUCUUGUCAGAAAUCUUGCUAGCAAAAGUUUUAAUUUGUUAUCUAGUCGACAAAAAACGUCGAUUUGGUGCCGUUCCGUUGGUUAUCUGGCCACCCGGAGUUCGGCGCUACUUGCAUUGGAUUUUCCAGAAGAUUUUCCCCCGGAAGAAUUUCACCAUUCAAAAUCAACCUCCACUCCAGCAGCUACCUAACGGCAUCCUCUCAGGAAUGCUCCUAGGCAUUACGGGAUGCUUCGAGAUGGUCGUCGGAUUCGGUGCUUCCGCUCCCGUCACAGCAGUUUGGAUUUCAACUCAUGUUGUCUCGCCAUCGUCGUGCAGUCAACUCCUCCAGGAGAUGCCACCAAAGCCGCCAUGAGUGAAAAGUUGCAGAAUCCUUGAAGAAUCAUCCGAAGUGAAGGGAUUGGUAGAAAACUCAGGUGUGAAAGUGUUUGUAUGUAAUAAAAGCGUUAAACAUCUUGUUUUGUUUCACGAAAUUAAACAGAAAUAUGACUAAUAUUUUCCUUAUCAAAUGAUUAUUAUGAUCUAGGUUGUAACCGUUGGUUACAGUUCUUGAACGAACCUUCACUUUUUAAUUUAACUCCCUAACAUACAACAUCACACCCUACAAAGCAACGAAGGGAUUUUCGUACCGCUGCGAACAAGACCGUUCUUGACGGCGUCGCGUCGAGACGGUACACAAUGGGUGGGAUGGAAAAUGGUGGUUUUCCCUCCAGGGAAAAAAGGAGGGAGAAGUCUACCUGGCUCGCCGAUCCCAAAGAUCGGCCUCUUUUGCCAUUCAGGCGGCCGUGUGUUUAGUCGUGUCCGUUGUACUAGUACCGUCCUCUUUGUGCUGUGUACUUUUCGCCUUCCGGAAGUGGAAGUGCCCAAACGGAAGUCUUGUUCCGUCGGCGCGACGGCACACGGGUAUCCGGUGAACAUAGCCUUGUGAGUGCGCAGGAGCCAUCGGCUACGUUUUACGUCAAGCACCGACCCGAAUCUCUGGCGUCAUAACCCGUCAAGGAGAUUAUCCCCUCUCGGCACGCCCAAAUCAGUGGACCCUGGGGCUGCCGAAUCCGCCACUGAGGGAAGACGCCUGCCGCAGGUAGGACCAGCAACGCCCGCUGGCCUACCUCUGCGUUCCAGCCCAACCCAGCAGCAGCUCAAGCCAUCCGGAAGUCGACGACCAACCAGCAGCUCCAGAAAAUCCCCCCCCCCCAUUACGGGAUCGCGGCGGCACAGUCGAGGGCGCUACUGUGACCGGCCUUGGAGCAGGUGAACGCCGAAGGCGUUCGAGGAUUGGAGUGUAGUCAGCGAAGCCUCGCUGCGAGUCCAGCUGCUGAACGGUACGUUGCCCCUGAAGUGCCUUACAUUCCCCACACACACCCACACCCUACACUUUUCACCGAAAAUACACGUUUUGAUUAGAAAAUUGUGGUUCUUGAUUUUUAUUUCAUCCGUGUCUCACUUGAAUCGCUGAGUAGAAAUGCCGACCCUGAGUGAUGAGUAGUCAGUAGCUUAGGUCUACGACUACCUGUAAGUAGAUGGUCUCUGCCCUGAAAAAGGAAUGAGCUAGUCCUCCUUGAUACUGAAAAGUCAAUAGUUUCAAGGUAAUAAGCUGCAAAAAAAAUCUAGCUGAAACAUUCUAACAAAAUUCUAGCAGGAUUUUAGCAGAAAAUUUUUCUAUCUAAUUCUAGCAAAAUUCUUACAGAAUUCUAGCAAGAGGACUGUCAGAAUAGUUCUAGCUAAAUUCUAGCAGGAUUCUAGCAGAACCGGAUGAUUUCGCCGGCUCCUGCUAGAACCGGUUAUUGCAUUUGAGCUAGAAUUCUUUGAGAAUUCUUGCAAAGUUCUGGCAGGAUGAUGGCCCACACGCAAACCUGGCGCUUAUCAGACCGAUCUCUGAUAAUCGUCUAUCAGAGAUUCUCUGAUACACCCUGUUUGAAAAAUGUCGCACGUCGUACAAGCUGUCGCGCGGUUUUGUUUUUACCGUUUCGAUAUCGAUUGGUCGAAAGGACGACAAACGUACGACAAUCACUCCACAUGCCCGACAUUGUUUUUUCCAUCGAUUUUCCUUCAAUUCGACGUCACGAUUUUCGUCGACGCAAACAGUUUGACAGUUCUCUUCAGUUGAUCUUGUUCGGACUUGAUUACAACCGAAUCGAACCAGCUGUCCUUCCUUUUGGGAUUUGGUUUAGGAGCCCCGAAGAUUUUGGACGAUUUUCGACGGAUAAUAGGUAAGUUUAGUUCUAGAUUGUGAUUUUUUUGCGGCGAAAUGUUCCGGGGUGCGCGAGCGACCGAAUCAAAGUGUCUUGUAAUUCAGAUUUCGGUCUUCGUGGCGGUGGAGGAGGACGGGACGGGAAGGAACCGGUUUGCGAUCGAGGAAGGUUGGUGUUUGGUGUUUUACUUUCCGCGGGAGGUGGCGGCACAUACCUGAUGAAACUGGGAACAAACACGUACUCCACAAUCCCACGUUAUCUCGUACUCCGGUGACCAUUAAUCCGUCUGAGAUCCAAGAUUGGCGUCGCAUCCGGGUAAAACUUUGAUCAGCUCGUCGAGAAGCAAAAGUCCAACACCAAC